rnacentral:rRNA from 1 species
GAUGAACGCUGGCGGCGUGCUUAACACAUGCAAGUCGAACGAUGAAGCCCAGCUUGCUGGGUGGAUUAGUGGCGAACGGGUGAGUAACACGUGAGUAACCUGCCCUUAACUCUGGGAUAAGCCUGGGAAACUGGGUCUAAUUCCGGAUAGGAGCGUCCACCGCAUGGUGGGUGUUGGAAAGAUUUAUCGGUUUUGGAUGGACUCGCGGCCUAUCAGCUUGUUGGUGAGGUAAUGGCUCACCAAGGCGACGACGGGUAGCCGGCCUGAGAGGGUGACCGGCCACACUGGGACUGAGACACGGCCCAGACUCCUACGGGAGGCAGCAGUGGGGAAUAUUGCACAAUGGGCGCAAGCCUGAUGCAGCGACGCCGCGUGAGGGAUGACGGCCUUCGGGUUGUAAACCUCUUUCAGUAGGGAAGAAGCGAAAGUGACGGUACCUGCAGAAGAAGCACCGGCUAACUACGUG